GCAGUGCUGGUUCAGUGGUAGUAUUCUCGCCUUCUACGCAGGAGACCCAGGUUCAAUUCCUGGCCAAUGCA
rnacentral:tRNA from 1 species